AGUGAACGCUGGCGGUAGGCCUAACACAUGCAAGUCGAACGGCAGCACAGGAGAGCUUGCUCUCUGGGUGGCGAGUGGCGGACGGGUGAGGAAUACAUCGGAAUCUGCCCAGUCGUGGGGGAUAACGUAGGGAAACUUACGCUAAUACCGCAUACGACCUUCGGGUGAAAGAGGGGGAUCGCAAGACCUCUCGCGAUUGGAUGAGCCGAUGUCGGAUUAGCUAGUUGGCGGGGUAAUGGCCCACCAAGGCGACGAUCCGUAGCUGGUCUGAGAGGAUGAUCAGCCACACUGGAACUGAGACACGGUCCAGACUCCUACGGGAGGCACCAGUGGGGAAUAUUGGACAAUGGGCGCAAGCCUGAUCCAGCCAUACCGCGUGGGUGAAGAAGGCCUUCGGGUUGUAAAGCCCUUUUGUUGGGAAAGAAAUCUUUCAGGCUAAUACCCUGAGAGGAUGACGGUACCCAAAGAAUAAGCACCGGCUAACUUCGUG
rnacentral:rRNA from 1 species